rnacentral:rRNA from 1 species
AUGAACGCUAGCGGCAGGCCUAAUACAUGCAAGUCGAACGGUAACAUGAGUAGCAAUACUUGAUGACGAGUGGCGCACGGGUGCGUAACGCGUAUGCAAUCUACCUUUAACCGGUGAAUAGCCCGAAGAAAUUCGGAUUAAUACACCAUAGUAUAUUUGAAUGGCAUCAUUUAAAUAUUAAAACUCCGGUGGUUAAAGAUGAGCAUGCGUGACAUUAGCUAGUUGGUGAGGUAAUGGCUCACCAAGGCUACGAUGUCUAGGGGAUCUGAGAGGAUUAACCCCCACACUGGUACUGAGACACGGACCAGACUCCUACGGGAGGCAGCAGUAAGGAAUAUUGGACAAUGGUCGCAAGACUGAUCCAGCCAUGCCGCGUGCAGGAUGACAGCCCUAUGGGUCGUAAACUGCUUUUGUGCGAGAAAAAACCUCUUUACGUGUAAAGAGCUGAUUGUAUCGUAAGAAUAAGGAUCGGCUAACUCCGU